GUGGGGAAUCUUGCGCAAUGGGCGAAAGCCUGACGCAGCCAUGCCGCGUGAAUGAUGAAGGUCUUAGGAUUGUAAAAUUCUUUCACCGGGGACGAUAAUGACGGUACCCGGAGAAGAAGCCCCGGCUAACUUCGUGCCAGCAGCCGCGGUAAUACGAAGGGGGCUAGCGUUGCUCGGAAUUACUGGGCGUAAAGGGCGCGUAGGCGGACAGUUUAGUCAGAGGUGAAAGCCCAGGGCUCAACCUUGGAAUUGCCUUUGAUACUGGGUGUCUUGAGUACGGGAGAGGUGAGUGGAACUCCGAGUGUAGAGGUGAAAUUCGUAGAUAUUCGGAAGAACACCAGUGGCGAAGGCGACUCACUGGCCCGUUACUGACGCUGAGGCGCGAAAGCGUGGGGAGCAAACAGGAUUAGAUACCCCUGUAGUCC
rnacentral:rRNA from 1 species